rnacentral:rRNA from 1 species
UACGUAGGUGGCAAGCGCUAUCCGGAUUUAUUGGGCGUAAAGGGAACGCAGGCGGUCUUUUAAGUCUGAUGUGAAAGCCUUCGGCUUAACCGGAGUAGUGCAUUGGAAACUGGGAGACUUGAGUGCAGAAGAGGAGAGUGGAACUCCAUGUGUAGCGGUGAAAUGCGUAGAUAUAUGGAAGAACACCAGUGGCGAAGGCGGCUUACUGGACUGUAACUGACGUUGAGGCUCGAAAGCGUGGGGAGCAAACAGG